CAGUAGCCGCGGGAAUACGAAGGGGGCUAGCGUUGCUCGGAAUCACUGGGCGUAAAGGGUGCGUAGGCGGGUCUUUAAGUCAGGGGUGAAAUCCUGGAGCUCAACUCCAGAACUGCCUUUGAUACUGAAGAUCUUGAGUUCGGGAGAGGUGAGUGGAACUGCGAGUGUAGAGGUGAAAUUCGUAGAUAUUCGCAAGAACACCAGUGGCGAAGGCGGCUCGCUGGCCCGAUACUGACGCUGAUGCACGAAAGCGUGGGGAGCAAACAGGAUUAGAUACCCCAGUAGUCCCUGUCUCUUAUAC
rnacentral:rRNA from 1 species